CGACUUUGUGUUUUAUGUUAUUUUUUACUAGUUUUCUUGGAAAGAAAAUUACAUUUACAUAUAUGUAUUUAGUUUAAGUUUGUAUUUGUCGUUUGCUUUUUAUUGACUUUAAAAGUGUUACUUUACUAAAAAAAUAAUAAGAAUGAUAUUUAUAAUAUACAUACAUAUGUGUGUGUAGUAAUUAGAGAAUAACAAAUUAUUAAUUUAGGUUUUUAAGUAAUUUUUUAUACAAAUAUGAAUUUAGGUUUAUAUUUCCCCACAGGUUUAUAAGUGUAUUAUUAUAUUAAUUACUUUUUUGUUUGCCUAUAAUUCGUUCAUUUUCUAGAUCUACAUAUAUCUCCGCACUGGAAUUUUUCGUCGCAACCGCAAAUCAGUCAAAUAUAUGUACAUAUGUAUAUGCGAGAUUCAACUUUCUAGUGUGUAUAAUUUUUUGAAAGCGUAAAUAAGUAAAAAAAUGAGGCAUUUAAAUAGGAUUAUGCGAAAAUGUGUGGAAUAUUUACGAAACAUGUAAAUCGCUCAUAAGUUCUCUAAAUGAUACAGGUUUUGUGUAUAAUACGUACAGAACAAUACGGAAAUAACGAAAGUGAAAUCAAAGAAAUAUUGUAUCGAACCAAUUGUAAUUGGUUUGAACCAAAAAUGCAAUAUAUUGAUAAAAUAUGUCAACUGGAGUUAGCUGGUUAGCUAGUUUUAGCUAUAAAACUUAAAAAGUUAUUUCAAUAUUCUCAAGUCUAACGCAAUGUAGAAUACUUUGUUGAAACGUGACAGGGAAUGCUGGAAGCAGCGAAACCAAGUAUUGAAAAUAUUUGUUAAGUAAAAAAUGUGUUUCCGUAAGGGCUUUUUAAUAACUUCUGCAAAAAUAUAUACACGUCUUCUGUCACUCAUUUUUGUCAGUCAAUAAUGACUAUGAUGAAACCAGCUUCUGAAAGCGAUUGUUUUGAAUAUUGGAUUUACGCAACUGCUCUGCCGCCUAUUAUCGUAAAAUUUUUAAAGUUUCAAUUGCAUUUUGGAAAAAAAGUUAUAUUUUAGUUAAGUGUAUACUUUUAGGCAGUUGUAUGAAAUGAAAUAAAUAAUGAAAUAUAAAAUAUAUUUAAUUAUGAAUAUUCCAUGACCAUUUCAUGUUCGCAUAAAUAUUUUAAGCAAGUAUUACUCAAGAACUCGAAGACUUUCUAGUACAAUAUUUUUUUAAAUGAAAUUGGAAUUGAUAAUUAAAAGAAAUUAUAUUAUACUAUUUUGUUUCAAACAAAAUAUUGAAGUCAAAAGAAGAAAUUUUUUUGCAGCAAUUGACAGUUUUAUAAAAACAAUUGAAUAUGUAACAUUCUUAGUAUUUUCACAUACUUUCUUUAUGAAAUAUUUUAUUUUUCUUUAAACAAUUUUUGUUUUGUUAAAACACAUUCAACAGAAAUCUAAUAAGGAGUAAAAUAUGUUAAUACAAUUGUCUCUAAAUCAGUACGACACGAAAUUUAACUGUACCAAUUAAUUUUAGUGAACUGCAGAUGACAAGCGCAAAGUCAUUAAAUAACUCGAUAAGACCCUCCGUUUGAUCCAGUGAGAAGUUGUAGUCGACAUCUAGCGGUGGUUCGAUGGGUAGGAACGGCGGCAGAUCAUCAAAGUCUGUGGUGUUUGUGAUUGAACGUCACGCAAGCAGUCGAAAAGCAGUGAAAUGAAAUUACGAAAAAGAGGAAUAUGCUCUUAAAUAUGCUGAUUUCAGGUCCGUCGUUGAGCUUUGAAAAGCGCUCAGCAAGAACUCAGACUGUGAUGCGAAAUGAAAUUUGAUUGUGAAACGCAAAUCACAGCCAGAGCUCCCGUCAAGAGUUUUUCACGUUAAAUGAUGAAUGACGCUGAUUAUAUGUAUGUAUGCAGAGAGGUUUAUAUAAUGCAGUGAACGAGGUUAAACCGAUAACAAAUUUCAAAUUUCAUUAAUAUUAUUUUUUAUAUCAUAAAACCUAAUUAAAAUUUUAGUAUUUACAGUGUGUUCGUGUUAUUGUGUAGGUAUGUGUAAGAUAUAAUAAAUCUAAAUUUAAAAUAAAUAAAAACUAACAUAUUUUAACUCAAAAA